rnacentral:lncRNA from 1 species
UUCAGCACAUCGUGAGUGGUGCUCUUGAGUCCCUUCAAGUGAUUACUACUUAGAUCUUCCCGGGGACACCUUCUUGAAAGGACCAGCGUGCAUCCACUUUGCUUAGAUAUAAUCCCAGAUCAGUGGAGGUGUUGCAAAGCAGACUUCACUUGUCUCACUAACACUGGAGCAGUUGAACAUCAGAUACCCAGAGUGACAUCAGGUUAAAAAAAAGCCUGCAAUUUGGAUCUUUUCCUGACUCGGAAGCAAGGAAAAUGGACAAUUGAUAAUCAAAGGCUAAAUCUCUUCUGGGAUCCACUGAAUGCCACUAGAGGGUCUGCUUGAGAGAAUUCCUGAUUGAAUGACAACGGCGCUAAGAACAGUAAGUCAUGGUUGGGAAGCAGUAAGGGAAGAAUGGAGCCCAGAUAUCCUAAAUUAAAAUAUAAAAGGCUAUCGUUAUUAGGCAUGUACAUCUAAAUUUCAAAGUAAAAGGCCAACAUCCCACUACGCCUCCCGAAUCCAGCACAUUCCACCUAACACACGCACACACACACACACACACACACACACACACACACACCCUUCCCUCUGAGGCAAUUAAUGGACCCAAACUGACUUUUUUAUGGAACCAUAAUAUAGAAAGAAAUGCCUGUGCCGAAAAUGUCAAUGCACAAUAAUUUAUCCGAAAU